AUUGAACGCUGGCGGCAGGCCUAACACAUGCAAGUCGGACGGUAGCACAGAGAGCUUGCUCUCGGGUGACGAGUGGCGGACGGGUGAGUAAUGUCUGGGGAUCUGCCCGAUAGAGGGGGAUAACCACUGGAAACGGUGGCUAAUACCGCAUAACGUCGCAAGACCAAAGAGGGGGACCUUCGGGCCUCUCACUAUCGGAUGAACCCAGAUGGGAUUAGCUAGUAGGCGGGGUAAUGGCCCACCUAGGCGACGAUCCCUAGCUGGUCUGAGAGGAUGACCAGCCACACUGGAACUGCGACACGGUCCAGACUCCUACGGGAGGCAGCAGUGGGGAAUAUUGCACAAUGGGCGCAAGCCUGAUGCAGCCAUGCCGCGUGUAUGAAGAAGGCCUUCGGGUUGUAAAGUACUUUCAGCGGGGGGGAAGGCGAUGCGGUUAAUAACCGUGUCGAUUGACGUUACCCGCAGAAGAAGCACCGGCUAACACCGUGCCAGCAGCCGCUGUAA
rnacentral:rRNA from 1 species